CAGAGUGGGAAAGGAUACAAUGACCAAGAACCAGUUUGGCCUAAUGGUUAAAACCUCAAGCUAGAAAUCGGGAAACAUGCUAUACAACAGAGAAAAAAGUUUCAUAUACAGUACACCCCCUCUAUGGGAAAAGUUUGGUCUCAGGAGGCAGGAGUCAUGAGUUCUGAAUUUUGGAUACAUUCUCCAAGUUAGCCCAUUUGAGGUUCUGAACAUAGUCCAAACUGCAACAAACUAUCUAGGAAAAAAGUCACUCCAGCCAAAGCAGUAUGAAUACUUAUGAGAGCUAAUAAUGCCCUCUUCAAAGUUUUUACUGAAAAAAGAAAGAAGCAGCAAAAAAGCAAAGUACUACUUCUAAAUCAAAUAUCGAGUCUCCUAUAUACUCUAGAGUCAACAUUAGACUUGUUUCUGCUUUCUUGGGGAAAAAAAGAAGGUUUUAGAAGAAUGUCAUCUACAUUUUACUACUUAAGUAAAGUUUCAAUUCAAAAAUCA